rnacentral:rRNA from 1 species
GAGUUUGAUUCUGGCUCAGGAUGAACGCUAGCGAUAGGCUUAACACAUGCAAGUCGAGGGGCAGCAUAAAGUCAGCUUGCUGAUUUGGAUGGCGACCGGCGGAUGGGUGCGUAACGCGUAUGCAACUUACCUGUCAGAGGGGGAUAACCCGGAGAAAUUCGGACUAAUACCGCAUAUACUUGAGAUGCUGCAUGGUGUUUCAAGGAAAUAUUUAUAGCUGACAGAUAGGCAUGCGUUCCAUUAGCUAGUAGGUGUGGUAACGGCUCACCUAGGCGACGAUGGAUAGGGGAACUGAGAGGUUAAACCCCCACACUGGUACUGAGACACGGACCAGACUCCUACGGGAGGCAGCAGUGAGGAAUAUUGGUCAAUGGGCGAGAGCCUGAACCAGCCAAUUCGCGUGAAGGAAGACUGCCCUAUGGGUUGUAAACUUCUUUAGUAGGGGAUUAAAGUUUGCCUUGCGAGGCA